AUAUAUCAACCUCCUCAGGUUUUGACUUGUCGAGUGUUUGGAUGUGGGGGUCUUUUGCUGGUCUCUUUUGAGGUCGGCUCCCCUAAAAUGCAUUAGCCGAACAAUUUGUUGACCCCGUUCAUUGGUGUGAUAAUUAUCUACGCUUUUGACGUGAAACAGGUUCAGCUUCUAACAGUCCAUUGACUUGGACAAUUUUUCAUUA
rnacentral:misc_RNA from 1 species